rfam:Shimwellia blattae DSM 4481 = NBRC 105725, complete genome.
UUUUCCGCGUUCAGGCUUGUUAAUAACAAGGAAAUUUGCGGAAUUGCCAAUUUUGCCUGUCUAUUCAGCCACGCAGCAAUGGCGUAAGACGUUAUGAAUUUCAGGCAGUUAGCGGGCUGCGGGUUGCAGCCUAACCGGUAAAUGGAAUCUUAUCUGGCGAAAUAACACCCAGAAUAUUCCGUGGACUUAAGCGCACUGUUUUUCCGUUUGAAUUACAGGCCGCCGAUACUUUGCGCCUCCAUGCAAGCGACAACCGUGAGGUUGACGACUUUGCGAAUAGUCACGAGGCCAUCGGUCAAUUCCCGGUCAGCGUCAUCCUGCCCGCAGCUUUGUCGUCAA